CAUGGUUUGCUGAAUUCCUCCACUGUCCAGCAAAUUAGCCUUGGUCCUGGUUAUCUCUUUUGCUCUCAGCAUUCCUAAAGCAUUGCAACAAAUAAAAGAGCUGCAUUUCUUCUUAGAUGUUUUCCAAAUAUCCAGAGAACUGCAACUGCUACUUUUGAAUAUCCUAGAGUAUCACAAAUUCUUCUGACUACAAAAGCUUAUUGGAGAUCUAAUAGUUUCCUGCCAAUAGAUUGAUAAAGGACUUUUUUCUUUUUUUGCCUGGUCCAGGGCGUGUGGAAUUUCCCUGGCCAGGGAUCACAUCUGCUCCUCAGCAGUGACCCGAGCUGCUCUACUGACAAUGUUGGAUUCUUAACCCGCGCACAACAAGGGAAAUUCCAAGCACUUUUGAACCUUUGAGAAGAAUGCUAAAGGGAGUAGGAAUGAAGGUGUGGAGUGGUCAGAAAUCUGCACCAGCGCCCAGGCAGGACCGGCUGCAGAUUCUGAGUGAUUCUGGGUACAGAACUCAUUGAAAUACAAUAUUCCCAGGCUAACUGCUGCAGACGAUAGAGGUGGAAAUCUGAGGGACUGAUGAAAUACUGCUGGAAGGAGGGUGGGAAAGGGAUGGUAGGGAGCCUCAGCUCCAAUCGCUUAGAAGAGAAAUACAUUUUUGCCUCAUAAUUUUCUAUUUUGUGCUAUAUGCCUGAUAUGUUGGCCUCAUUUACUAGAGUAAUGAAAUGUUUUUCAAAGGUCCAUAUUCUCCAGUGUGCACCAGUUUCCUGAUGUAUGAUGGAGAAGUCAGAUCCCAGCAACACUUUAAAGCUGUAAGUUUAAGGCAAGUUCUACAAAUUGCAGAGUAUGUAUCCCCCUCUCUAACAGGGGCACAGUCUAUUUGCCUCUUGAGGUGGUAGGCAACUUCUUUCUCUUGACACAGUGGUUUAGACUCCAUGGUGAGGUAAGGCAUUUGGGGAACUGGAGUCUUCAUUCCUUACUUAGAGGGGAAGGAGAGAAGUAACCUCAGCUUGUG
rnacentral:lncRNA from 1 species